UGCAGUCGAGCGGCAGCGACAACAUUGAUUCUUCGGAGGAUUUGUUGGGCGGCGAGCGGCGGACGGGUGAGUAAUGGCUGGGAACCUGCCCUGACGUGGGGGAUAACAGUUGGAAACGACUGCUAAUACCGCAUGAUGUCUUUGGACCAAAGAGGAGGACCUUCGGGCUUCUCGCGUCGGGGUGGGCCCAGUUGGGAUUAGCUAGUUGGUGAGGUAAUGGCUCACCAAGGCGACGAUCCCUAGCUGGUUUGAGAGGAUGAUCAGCCACACUGGAACUGAGACACGGUCCAGACUCCUACGGGAGGCAGCAGUGGGGAAUAUUGCACAAUGGGCGCAAGCCUGAUGCAGCCAUGCCGCGUGUGUGAAGAAGGCCUUCGGGUUGUAAAGCACUUUCAGCAGUGAGGAAGGCGUAGUGGUUAAUACCCGCUGCGCUUGACGUUAGCUGCAGAAGAAGCACCGGCUAACUCCGUGCCAGCAGCCGCGGUAAUACGGAGGGUGCGAGCGUUAAUCGGAAUUACUGGGCGUAAAGCGCAUGCAGGCGGUUUGUUAAGCAAGAUGUGAAAGCCCCGGGCUCAACCUGGGAACCGCAUUUUGAACUGGCAGGCUAGAGUCUUGUAGAGGGGGGUAGAAUUUCAGGUGUAGCGGUGAAAUGCGUAGAGAUCUGAAGGAAUACCGGUGGCGAAGGCGGCCCCCUGGGACAAAGACUGACGCUCAGAUGCGAAAGCGUGGGGGAGCAAAAC
rnacentral:rRNA from 1 species